CAACUGUCGACAGUUUGGCUCAAAUAAACUCUUACAAGUUUUCUCUUAGGCUGGAUGUUUUUCGUCAACAGCUCUAAGCCCCCUCUCCAGCCCAGCCUGCUCUCCUGCUUAUUGUCGCACGGUGUCUCUGGCAUGGCCUGCCGGGUGCCUCAGUGAGGCCUCAGCUUCAUGAUGCUCCCACCAGGACCGCCUUCUUCCCCACCCCCUGCCCUGCCAGCCAAAGUCACUGUGAACAGGGUCACCAUGCUCAGAAAUCGUAAGUUGGGAUCUGAAAUAGCUGUAGGAUCUCAUGGUUGGGUCUACAUUCUUUCACUUGGUCAUUUAACAAACACUUAUUGAGAGUCUACCAUGUGCCAGGCACGGCCUGGGUGCUGGCAACACGAGAACAGGCCAGUGUCUGCUCUGAUGGAGCUGGCGACACACAGACAAGUCGGCAAUAUAGCAGGGCAAGGGGACAGUGACUGCGGAGGUGACGUUGGCGCAGAGACUUGGAUGAAGUGAGGAGUGAAUCGUGUGGGUAUCUGGAGAAUAGGAGUCCAGGCAGAGGGAACAGCAUGUGCAAAGGCCCUGAGGCAUGUGUGCUUUGGCAGAUUCCAAGGACAGCAAACAGGCCAGGAGGGCUAGAACUGAGUGAGUGAGAGGGGAGUAGUAAGAGACAGACUCAGACAAACAGCAAGGAGCUGGAUGGUGUAGGGCCUCACCGGUCACCAGAAGGGCUCUGGGCUUAGGUCUAGUGCAAUGGGAAGUCAUGGGCUGUCCUUGAGCAAAGGAAUGACGUUAUGUCAUUGACAUUUUUGUAAUCUCUCUCUUGUUUCUGUGUGGAGUAUAAACUGUAGGAGGACAUGCGCAAAAGCGAGGUGACUGGUGAACGUGUGUGGCUCUGCCCUCAGGUCCCUGGCUCUCACCCGGACUGCGCACUGCACUCAGAAAAUGUCUGCUGCUCUCAUUCGGAAGGUGGAAGGACCACGGCUGCCAUCUCGUAGCCACGAGGAGAAGAAAAGAGAUCCCAGGGUGCUGCCCAGAAGUCCUGACCAUCAGGUCGGACACCAUCGACCUCCAGACUUGUUGUCAAAUCCUCUCAAGGACCCUGGGAUAUAAGGCAAGAAUAGUCUUCAACAGAUUGUGCUGGGACAACUAGGUAUCCAUAUGGAAAAGAAUAAAGUUGGACCCCUACCUCACACCAUAUACAAAAUUAACCCAAAAUGGAUCAAAGAGCUAAA